rnacentral:lncRNA from 1 species
UGAAAAUAUCGAAAAUAAUGAAAAUAUGACAGAUUGUGAUACGGAUAACAUCAAUACAUCCAUUGGGGGUGAUAAAAGUGAUUAUCACCAUGAUGAUUCUGUGGAUGAUCCAAAUGCUAAUAUUUUAUUAUCACCAAAUGGAUAUAAAGGUAGUUUACUAUUAAACUUUUUUUAUGCAUAUUUUUAUAACUCUAAAAAUCAACUGUUAGCUGUUUUGUCAUAUGAUCGAACAAAAAUAGAAAAUGGAAAUGAUUUCAAAACUGUGAAGUUCACGUUUAAAAAGAUGGAGGCACUAGGUAUACUGUCAAACAAACUACGUACCCAAUUCGAACCAAGACUGCGUAAAAACGUCGAAAUAUCAAUGACAUUUAGUUCCGAAUUAAUUAAGAACAAUAUUUGUGAAGUGAUAAAAAAUAUUAUAAGUAUUGAAAAUGAUACAUUAGGUAAUGAUAAAAAAAAUAUAAAAAAAUAUAUAGAAAAUAAUACAAUUUAUUUAAAUAAAUUAAAAAAUGAUAAUUUUUUAGAUGAACCAUUGAAUAAUAUAAUAGAAGAUGAUGAAAAUAAAAGUAAACAAAAACUUGAAAUAAGAAAAGUUAGUUUUGCUACUACUAAGGAAAUAUGUUUAUUAAAUAAAGAUAAUUUGUCAGUACGUACUAAAACAUUAUUAUUAGAAGAAUCCCUAAACAAAAUGCAUCGUACAGAAGGUGUUGCUUUAGAAAAUAAAAAGAAUGAUUAUGAAGUUGUUCAUGCUAUUAAUGGAAAUAGUGAUAAUAAUAUACUGGAAAUAAAUGAAUAUACUCAUGAUAAAAAAACUAAAAUAACAACUGAUAAAGUGUUAGCAUUAACACAGAAAGAGUUAGCAGAAAAUUCAAAUUAUGAAUUAAUAAUAAAAAAGAAAGAAAUAACAGGAGAAAUGGAUACAUACAGUGCUAAAAAUGAGGAUACAUGUACAGGCAUAGAUGAGAAUACGGAUGUAGAUGUAGAUGUAGGUGUAGAUGUAGAUGUAGAUGUAGAUGUAGGUGUAGGUAUAGAUAUAGGUAUAGGUGAAAAUACAGAUAUAGUAGAAGAAAAUACAAAUAAUAAAAAUAACAAUAUAACACAACAUAUGGUGUUAAAAGUUAGCUAUGCAACAACAAAAGAUUUAUAUAAUGGCAGUUAUACAAAUAUUGACGAAGAUAAUAUUAAUAGAGUAUAUAAAAAUCAUAGUCCUAAUAAAUAUAACGAUAUUUAUAAAAAAAAAAAAGAAAAUUUAGUAGUAUAUAACAAUCAAGAAAAUAUAGGAGACAUAAAAAAUUGUUCAUUUCUUAUUGAUAAAAUACAUGAUAUAAAAAAUAAUAGUGAUAAUACAUAUAUUGUUAAUAAUGUUUAUGCUGAUUCGGGAGAAGAAGUAAAACAAACAAUGCAUAAAAAUGACUCAGUAAAUGUAAAUAAUGUGAUAAAUAUGGAUACAGUUAAUUUAUUUAGUAGCGAUAAUACAGUUGAAACAUAUCAAGAGAUGAAUGACACUGGUAUUGGUUGCCGGUAUGGGGCUGCUGGGAAUGGUAAAAUUUAUGGACACAUAAUUAAUACUACAUGUAUAAACACAACUAGUCAUUAUAACAACAUAAGUGGUGUUAAUAACAACAUAAGUAAUGGUGAUAA